rnacentral:ncRNA from 1 species
UUAAAUGCUAUGAUGCGGAGGAGUAAUUCGCUGAUUGCCGAAUUAAGAGAGCUGUCGGUUGGUGAAAGACAGUUCGGCACUCGAAUGAAGGUCGCCGCUGAGCAGUUUUGCUGAAACUCUAUGAGCAUUAAGCAAAAACGCACGACAAGCGUUAUUUCGUCAUACAUUUUACGGCUAUCGCCGAGAUGUAAUUUUCAGAGAGUGGUACAACGAAGUUCCAUAUCCUUAUGAGCCUUCGUCUCUUUU